AAUAUUAACAACAUGUUUUAUUUCUUCCAUCAUUUCAUGAACAUCAAUAACAUCAGUCACAAACAAGAAGAACAAAAAACAAAUUUCAUAUAAGAUCGGCAAAAUAUUAAUUGAUUUAAUUUCCUCCAUUAUGUCAAGUUUAACAAUCAUGGCACAGAACAACUGACGAAGAUAAUAACUAUUUACUUCCGAAAUAUCACUUCCAUCCGUCUGAGGCCUCAUCGGUUCAUAAUCGAUUUGUAUUCAGGAUAUUUUCAAGUAUUAAACAUUUUGAUAUAUUAUUGAAAUUUCAUAUGUAGAGACACAGCUUGAAAUAUUCAUAUGACUGUGAAAAGAAACACGUAAAAUGUACAAUGUCGUCUUAAAAUUAGAAUUAACGCCUUCUGUACUAUUUUCUCGGAACACCUCUUGUCUGUAAACUGUGAAAGAACUUCUCAAGUUCUAACCGUGAAACGACAUCUUUUGACGGCGUCAAAUCGACACAAAUUUAUAACUUUAAAUAUUGAAUAAGUUUAUAUCCUUAAUCCAACAUUCAAACAAGACAAGAGAAUAACAUUCGUCAACAUUUCAGAAAUAAAACCGGUGAUGUAUGAACUCUUCCAUAAUUAAAAUCAGCUCUAAAACACAGGGACAAGACACUUAAUUAGUGUGUCCUCCAUUGUAAUUAAGUAAUCCUACCAUCCCUCCACCCAUAGAGUGCCGGGACCCUGUGCUGUCAAAUACACAGACUACUCUCGUUAAGAUGCGUCAGUGUCUAGUUUUGGUUUUGGUUUAAUUUCGAUUAACGUCCUAUUAACAGCUAAGGUAAUUUAAGGACGUGCCUCCAUGUGAGUUGUGUAAGCGUGCAUGUGUGUAUGUGUGCCGGAGGCCGGGCAUGUUGGUGUAAUUGUCUCUUUGUGAUAGCGCGGAUCUGAUGCCGACUUUAUAGUGCUAUCUCACUGAAAAUCCAUGCCGAAAGCACCCAACACAGCGUUCCGCCCGGUCACAUUAUACCGUCAGUGUAUAGAAUUAAAGUCACAUUAAUAUAAACCAUUAGUAAAUAGGUUUGUACAAUACUGGUUAAUUAAUUAGAUCAACUGCCCCAUUGAAAUGAGGCUUGAUUAGUAGAGACUUGAAGUUAUAUCAGAUUGUUCAGAACAUUUUAAAUCAGUAAAUAUGACCGAGUGGUUUUCUGGUCCUGGAUUUGGUUUUUAACAAAAGGUCCUUACAUGUUCUUUACUUAGAGUGAUACGGAGUCUGUCCUGCUAAUCAAAGGUCAUAGCAACCAUAACAAAUAUGUAUUUUAAUUUCAGAACAGUUAAUAUACUCAUAUUGACAAGUAAGCAAUGUGAGGCAGACAAUUUGAUGCCGAGGUGGUCAUGAUAGAUUUAUCUAUACCCGACAAAGUACUGGCAACACAAUUGACCGUACCGUCGUCGGCCGUGAGGUUAUACCAGGACCGCACUGGUCAGUAAUAUAAUAAACAAAAGUUUUAUCAGGACCGCACUGGUCAGUGAUAUAAUAAACACUGGUCAGUGAUAUAAUAAACAAAGGUUAUAUCAGGACCGCACUGUUCAGUGAUAUAAUAAACACUGGUCAGUGAUAUAAUAAACACUGGUCAGUGAUAUAACAAACAAAGGUUAUACCAGGACCGCACUGGUCAGUGAUAUAAUAAACAAAGGUUAUAUCAGGACCGCACUGGUCAGUGAUAUAAUAAACACUGGUCAGUGAUACAAUAAACACUGGUCAGUGAUAUAAUAAACAAAGGUUAUACCAGGACCGCACUGGUCAGUGAUAUAACAAACAAAGGUUUUAUCAGGACCGCACUGGUCAGUGAUAUAAUAAACACUGGUCAGUGAUAUAAUAAACAAAGGUUUUUGGCAACUGUCGCUGCAGUGUCCUGCUGUUUAUAAAACAAACAUGCAUUUUCAUGGACUUUUAAAGUAAUGGGAUACUUCCAUGAGAAUAUCAAAAGAUUAUUUUGCACCGGUUUAUUAGAAAUCCUCUCAAAAACUUGACUUACAAAUCUUUCGAUUAAAAAUCCCUUCGACGACACAUACUUGUUUCAUGGAAUUUUCCUACUUAUCACAAUGAAACGUAAAUAUACGUAUAUGACGGGAUUUUAAACAAUCCCAGUUGGUAACAAAAAUUCCGCGAGAUUUGACAUAUUUUGGGUUUACACAUAAGGAGAGACGAACGCGAAUUCAAACAUAUCGAAUUAUACAGACUUUUGGGUAUGCUAAGAGCAUUCCUGUCAGCCGAAAAUAUCUUCCCUUUGAAUCCAAACAAAAAUAUACCUUAUUAUGUCUAAAGUGUCACUGGCUA